rnacentral:rRNA from 1 species
GUGAGUAACACGUGGGUAACCUGCCCUUAAGUGGGGGAUAACAUUUGGAAACAGAUGCUAAUACCGCAUAAAUCCAAGAACCGCAUGGUUCUUGGCUGACAGAUGGCGUAAGCUAUCGCUUUUGGAUGGACCCGCGGCGUAUUAGCUAGUUGGUGAGGUAACGGCUCACCAAGGCAAUGAUACGUAGCCGAACUGAGAGGUUGAUCGGCCACAUUGGGACUGAGACACGGCCCAAACUCCUACGGGAGGCAGCAGUAGGGAAUCUUCCACAAUGGACGCAAGUCUGAUGGAGCAACGCCGCGUGAGUGAAGAAGGCUUUCGGGUCGUAAAACUCUGUCGUAGGAGAAGAAUGGUCGGCAGAGUAACUGUUGUCGGCGUGACGGUAUCCAACCAGAAAGCCACGGCUAACUACGUGCCAGCAGCCGCGGUAAUACGUAGGUGGCAAGC